rnacentral:sRNA from 1 species
GUGCACCAGACAGGAGCAGCUGAAAUCGAGUUUAGUUCUAGUCAACAAGGCGCUAUUCCACCAUCGUGUCUAGAGUCUAGAUCUAGUCUUUGAGAUAUUGUGUCUGGGAAAUAGGGGCCUACAUAUUUUUAGUGAUGCAAGAUUUCUGAUUGGUUAAAAUGUGUCGAGUCAGAGAAUAACAAAUAGGCGGCUUCAUGGGGUUAGUAUUGAACAAACAAUGCAUUAAAGCAUAUAAUGAACAAUGCAGGCUCUUUGUAUAUAAUGAACAAUGCAGGCUCUUUGUAUAUAAUGAACAAUGCAUGCAUUCAGUAUCAGAAAUGAAAAGUGAUAGCUGAAGUCGUGAGUAGAUAUCACAUGUCAUAAGUAGCUUACUCACAGGUGACACGUGCAAGGGGAGGCCAUGGGAGCAGAAGUGCUCCUUAACCCCCCUCCUCCCAUUGACAUGAACUUGCUUUAAUCAAGUGGCUAGGCCUAUUAUGUUUAUUUGUAGGAUUGUGACCAAGCAGACAAUUGUUUUAUACCAGUGUGUAUUAUGAUCAACUCGGUGUCAGAAAGUACAGGCCCUCAAGUUAUUGUCUAUGUAACCGGGCGAUAUAAAUAAGCUUUAUCUUUAAUAAUGGACACUGGCGUUCUUGUGGAAUAAAGAUUUGUUUCUCUCUGGAGUCUUUACAUGUACCAUUAACCAUCCAUAGAGGCAACAACAAAAAGACUGCUAAUAAAUGACACAAGUGUAAUUCAAUGUUGUUAGGGUGAUUCAUUUAUUGACCAGAGACAUGAAAUAAAUAAUAACAGGUUUGUACAUUCCUGAUGAACACACACACACAACCACCAAUUUUAAAACAAACAAACAUAACCUCAUUAGUGGAGUGAUCUUCAAAUAACAUAAUAUAUGGUAUGAUGCUCUAAAAUAAUCAGGUUUACUUGAAGCCAAAUCAAUUUGUAAAAUAGUUCAUUCUUAGAAUCUUUUAGAAUUCAUACACAUGAUAAAAAAAAAUACAGAAUAUUUUUAAAUUGUAUGUAUGAAAAAGUCAUUCAGCAAACAAAUAAAAAAUAAAAGCUUAAAGUAGAAGUGGUUUGAAAGGGGGGGGGAGGGGGAAAUAAAGGGAAAGUCCAGCAACUAAAGAACAAAGUCCACAGAGAGGUUGAGAAAUGUACAGGAAACUGUAAGUGAAUAAAGUCCACUGUUAAGUAAGAAUACAAUACCUACAUUGUUAGUCUCAUGAUAGGCUAAAGCACAUUGUUAGUCUCAUGAUAGGCUAAAGCAAUGGUGAUGAUAACAGCUUUUUUUUCUAUGUUUGCUCUCUCAAAGCAACAGCUAAUUAUUUAUUUUGUUAAUAACUCAAAAUAUCUUUUGACUGAAAUGUUCAUUAAAAAAAAUAGGUAUUUGUUACACUAGAGGGUAAAUGUUUCAAUAAGGUUUUUGUUUAAUUGAAUUCUAUACAAACUCACUGUUAAAUUUAGAAAGCCACAUGGGGACUUUAACACUACCCAAUGGCACUCAGAAGGUUGCUAAUGGACAUAGAAUGUUACCAACUUGACCUUGCUAAAAUUAGAAAGUUAUUAAAAGACAACUCCACCCACUGGGUCUUGUUAAACUCAGAAAUGGACAUCAAUAACUCCACCACGGGUCCUUGUAAAACUCACAAAGUCAUUAGUUGACAUCCAAAAACACAAAAAGGUUGCAAUUAAAAAAAACAACAAACUUUCCAAAUAAUUCCUUCCUUUGUCUUAUCUUACAACUUUUAGUUCAACAUUUUAAAAAAAAUCAUUUCAUCAGUAUUUGAUAUUUCAAUUAUUCAGCUUGAAAGUAAACAUCCCAAUCUGAAAAGUUCUUGUAACAAUUCUCAUUACUUACUUCAUAGUUAAAAAGAAAAAAAAAAAGUAAACAACAAUUCAAAAUCUAAACAUGACAAACUUGCUGACAUAUUUCUAGAAAAAAACCUUCAUUGAAACAAAAAGUGUAAUGUACAAAAUCUUUUUUUUUCCUUAUGUCAUUCUAUUGUUAAUAUUUACAUUUGUUCUUUUCGAAUGACAAAUUCACAAUUCACAUAUUCUCUGAGCAAGAUGUGAUCUUGAGGUUAUCACAACCUUAUAAUGUCAAUAUAGCUUCAAACAACAAGGGUAUUACUCAAUGAAACUUGAAAUAAACAUAAUAUUAGCGUUUUAAAAAAAUAUCCCAUUAGUUCCUAUGUCUAAAAGAAAAUAUUAACAGCACAUUCUAUGUUAUUGUCUAUGAACAAAGGAAAAUUAGGAAUGAAUCAUUAAUUCAUUUUGAGAAACAAUGUGUAGGUUAGGUAACUAGGGAAAUC